UAUAUAAAUAUGUUAAUGUUGUUUAUAAUCUUUUUUACUUUUCCGUCAAAACGUAAAAAGUCGCGGCUUUUCUAGUUUUCUCUCGUGCUGCAUUUCUACCUUUUCUCCACUCGGUAUACCUUGUCGCCGGCCGUUGAUUUUCCUCCGAUCGCCGCCGAUAAGUUCAAUGUCUCUGAUCUUUGAUUUUCCAUUCAAAUGGAGAAUUUCCGUACCCCAAUUAGGAUCACAGAAUGUGUGUGUGUUUUAGACUUUGUAAUUAUGUUCCCACCUGCAUUUUGAUUUUGAUGCCAUAAGGCCCUUGGGGAAAAAAAAAAAAAGGUUGGUAAUUUUUCCCUGUUCCUUAGUGAUUUUUGCAAAUUCGUUGUACUUUCAAGGACAAAUUUGCUGCAAUGUCGUUGAUGAAAGGAGAGUUUGCUAACGAGAACCAAAAAGCUUGUGAAGGGCUUUUAGCCAGGGCCGAGCCUCGUUGGCUCAAACCCAUGCAACAAUUGAAUGGGUUUUGACCAGGGGCACCGCCUGCAACAUUUCCCCUUAAUGAUGGAGAAGAGAAGAGGAUCAAUCUCCCUGAGGAUGUCUAUAUUAAGAAAUUCUUCCAGAAGCAUCGCUUUUUCCAAGCAUGAACAUCCGUGCAUGAAUAUGGAAUUCACUUGCUGUUAGGGUUUAUGUUGGAACAGGCUUUGUGCUUUUGAUCCUCCUCUAGCCUGCGUUUUUGGUUCUGCGGGUGCUUGAGUUGAAGAGCAAGGCGUUAGAGAGGAGGAAGCAGUGGCGGUUGCCCAUAUGGAAUAUUGGGGGAAGAAGAAAUCUAAAAAGAAGGCAUAUGUUCGGUUGAAGCAAAUUGCCCAUGCUUAAGGGAAGAAGCCUCCAAACCCAUAUCCAAGUGCUGUCAUGGAGAUUCAAGCUGAGGAGAGGAAGUUUGUCCGUGACAGCUUCUUCAAUCCCAAGAUGUUUGAUAUUAUCAAGAAAAUGAAAAGGACAAAGCUGCUGAGGCACAGGACAGAUGUGCUGGUCGGUACACCUUCAAAUUGGUAGUGAGGUUCACACUAAUUUCCUGUUGAGCUCUAAUAGGACUUUGAGAACAGAAUUAGGGAUCGAUAGACUGCCAUGUUAGCUUUAGUUGUAAUUCAUGUUUGUUUAUGCAUGUUUUUCUCUUUGGGGUCAACAAAAUGUAUAACCUGACCCCGUGUUAUAAUUUUUUUAGUUUUGAUGCUGUGGGUAAAGUUGCGUGCUUUUCUUGAUGUGACCUGUGGUGAUCAUCACAGUUUAUGUAAGAGUGAUGAGUGACAUUCCACCAACAGUGGUGACAGAUGCUAUAUUUGAGUAUUUUAUAAUCUGAUAUCUUAACCAAAUUUUGCAUUCCA